rnacentral:rRNA from 1 species
GACGAACGCUGGCGGCGUGCUUAACACAUGCAAGUCGAACGGAAAGGCCCUGCUUUUGUGGGGUGCUCGAGUGGCGAACGGGUGAGUAACACGUGAGUAACCUGCCCUUGACUUUGGGAUAACUUCAGGAAACUGGGGCUAAUACCGGAUAGGAGCUCCUGCUGCAUGGUGGGGGUUGGAAAGUUUCGGCGGUUGGGGUUGGACGCGCGGCUUAUCAGCUUGUUGGUGGGGGAGUGGCUUACCAAGGCUUUGACGGGUAGGCGGCCUGAGAGGGUGAACGGGGACAAUACUACUGCGAGACGGCCCAGACGGCUACGGGAGGCAGCAGUGGGGAGUCUUGCACAAUGGGCGGAAGCCGGAGGCAGCAGCGCCGCGGGCGUGAUGACGGCCUUCGGGUUGUGAACCGCAUUCGCCUGUGACGAAGCUUGAGUGACGGUAAUGAGUAAAGAAGCACCGGCUAACUACGUG